UGCCAGCCGCCGCGGUAACACGGGGGGCGCAAGCGUUAUUCGGAAUUAUUGGGCGUAAAGGGCGCGCGUAGGCGGACUAGUCAGUCAGAGGUGAAAUCCCAGGGCUCAACCCUGGACGUGCAUCCGAUACUGCGAAACUAGAAUCCCGGAGGGGGUGGCGGAAUUCCUGGUGUAGAGGUGAAAUUCGUAGAUAUCAGGAGGAACACCUGUGGCGAAGGCGGCCACCUGGACGGGUAUUGACGCUGAGACGCGAAAGCGUGGGUAGCAAACAGGAUUAGAAC
rnacentral:rRNA from 1 species